UGUGCGUCCCUCUGCCUCGGCACUCCCCACACCUCUCUCUCUCUCUCAGCUUCCAGAAAAGGGUGUGUCCGCCUGCCUGCUGCUGAAAGGGAGGGAGGGGUCAUUUCACGGCUACUCCUCCCUGCUCUCGCUCGCUCGCUCUCUCUCUCUCUCUCUCUGUUAUUUCUCUUUUGCUCUCAUUCCCUCACUGGCAGCCUCAGGAUUAGGCCUUUUGUUUCUCUGCCUCCUCUGUCUCUCUUUUUAGCCUUAAUUUCUAUCUCUCUGUUUAAACCAGAGUGUGUGUGUGUGUGUGUGUGUGUGUGUGUGUUGUGUGUGUGUGUGUGUGUGUGUGUGUGUGUGUUCUUACCCCCCCUUGUGGCUGAUUUCUGAGAAGGGUCUCUCCUUUUUUUUUUUUUCUGGACCAGCUCUUAGAGCAGAGUGCCAGUCGACUCCUAAGCAGAAGAAGAGUGCCGCCGGCGGCCAGAAAAAGAAGAGGAGGAGCCCGGCCAAGCAGAGCGCACUAACUCAGCAGCCGCCGCCGUUGUCAGCAUCACCGCCGCCGACGCAAGAGGAGGAGGAGAAGGAGGAGCCGGUGACCAGGCCUCGGCCGCCACUGAAGGAAGAGGAAGAGGAAGCAGGCGAGGAGGAGCAGGGGGAAGUGGCGUCACAGUCUUUGAAGAAGAAGAAGAAGGAGGAAGAGGAGGAACCGAGGGAGGAGGAGGAGGAAGAGGGCGGGACAGACAUGCCCUCCGUACAGAUCAAACCAGAGCCAGAGGAGAUGGAGUGCACGACACAUCAUGUUCUUCAAAAUGUCUCUAAUGAUGCUCAGCUAACUGGCUAAUGGAGGACACCAAACCAUCUCACAGUAAGAGCGUCUGUCUGCUGGCUGAUUAAGGACUCAACGAUUAUUUGUGGCAACACUUUAUGAAUGAUAAUUAAGUAU